UACAUGGGGUGCAAACGUUGCUCGGAAUUAUUGAGCGUAAAGCGCACGUAGGCGGUUCGUUAAGUCGGAUGUGAAAGCCCUCGGCUCAACUGAGGAAGUGCACCCGAAACUGGCGAGCUUGAGUACGAAAGAGGAUCGCGGAAUUCCUGGUGUAGCGGUGAAAUGCGCAGAUAUCAGGAAGAACACCCGUGGCGAAGGCGGCUCUCUGGGACGGUACUGACGCUGAGACGCGAAAGCGUGGGGAGCGAACAGG
rnacentral:rRNA from 1 species